rnacentral:rRNA from 1 species
GACGAACGCUGGCGGCGUGCCUAAUACAUGCAAGUCGAACGCUUCUUUCCUCCCGAGUGCUUGCACUCAAUUGGAAAGAGGAGUGGCGGACGGGUGAGUAACACGUGGGUAACCUACCCAUCAGAGGGGGAUAACACUUGGAAACAGGUGCUAAUACCGCAUAACAGUUUAUGCCGCAUGGCAUAAGAGUGAAAGGCGCUUUCGGGUGUCGCUGAUGGAUGGACCCGCGGUGCAUUAGCUAGUUGGUGAGGUAACGGCUCACCAAGGCCACGAUGCAUAGCCGACCUGAGAGGGUGAUCGGCCACACUGGGACUGAGACACGGCCCAGACUCCUACGGGAGGCAGCAGUAGGGAAUCUUCGGCAAUGGACGAAAGUCUGACCGAGCAACGCCGCGUGAGUGAAGAAGGUUUUCGGGUCGUAAAACUCUGUUGUUAGAGAAGAACAAGGACGUUAGUAACUGAACGUCCCCUGACGGUAUCUAACCAGAAAGCCACGGCUAACUACGUG